rnacentral:lncRNA from 1 species
AAUCGCACAACCUCUAAAAUUGAUAAGACCAUAGAUCAAGCUCACAAAGAGGACUCCCUCCCCUGCUCACGAGUCAAUACACCCUUUGAGACUUCAUUUUGUACCUACUGUUCUGAAAAUAUUUAGUAUAAUUGUUAGAUCUGCAACUCCGUUAACCAAAAACAUCAUCGCCCUCUCUAACUACCUCAAGCCUAUUGACUUCAUCAUUGGCACAAAAAUGAAUGAUACGAGAAUAUCAAAUGUCCCACAAACCAUUUCAGUAAAGGAGGAAGAGUGCACGACAAUCAAAUUAUAAACGAAUUGGGAAUCCAAUUUAGAAACCAAACCAAGAAUCAUCGAAAUCGUAGUUGUUGCGAUGAUGAACUUUUGAAAUCGUUGCGCGGAGGGCGUCCUUCAAGCCGGCGGCGAUGGCGGACAGAACAAACGGCGACAAUGAUUUUUUGUGAAGGAGUGUUAGGUUUUGCGGUGAG